AUUGAACGCUGGCGGCAUGCUUUACACAUGCAAGUCGAACGGUAACAGGCCUUCGGGUGCUGACGAGUGGCGAACGGGUGAGUAAUGCAUCGGAACGUGCCCAAUCGUGGGGGAUAACGUAGCGAAAGUUACGCUAAUACCGCAUAAGCCCUGAGGGGGAAAGCAGGGGAUCGCAAGACCUUGCGCGAAUGGAGCGGCCGAUGUCAGAUUAGCUAGUUGGUGGGGUAAAAGGCCUACCAAGGCUUCGAUCCGUAGCUGGUCUGAGAGGACGAUCAGCCACACUGGGACUGAGACACGGCCCAGACUCCUACGGGAGGCAGCAGUGGGGAAUCUUGCGCAAUGGGGGCAACCCUGACGCAGCCAUGCCGCGUGAAUGAUGAAGGCCUUAGGGUUGUAAAGUUCUUUUGCCCGUGACGAUGAUGACGGUAACGGGAGAAUAAGCUCCGGCUAACUUCGUG
rnacentral:rRNA from 1 species